UACAGCCAUAUCAUUUUGAAAAACCGGUUCUCGUACGAUCACCGAAGUUAAGCAACGUGGAGCUUGGUCAGUACCUAGAUGGGUGACUGCUUGAGAAUACCGGAUACUGUAAG
rnacentral:rRNA from 1 species